GCUGGGGAGUAAGGCAGUGUCCCUACAGGAACUACGAGAGACACAAAGAUGUCUGUGACAUGCUUGCUGUUGCCCUCAGAACCAUGAGGCAGAGACAGAAAGAUGGAGAUUAUUUGCUUAAUGAGAGUGUUGUGAAAGUUCACUUUUACAAUGUAUUGAAGUAUUCAGCUCAAAGCACAAGAUCAGAGCAUGAGGAGAGGCCUGAACCUAACCCAAAUUCUGAAGACCAGACAAGCUUAGGCAAAAGCAGAGUAUUGGUGCCAGGUUCCUCCUAGAGACAUUUAACUGGCAAAAUGAUACUACGAUGGACAAUGCAUUUGUGUUCUACUUACCAAAGCAGAGAAAGGAACCAAUGGAUUUUCAUUUGCAAGGCCAACAAGGGCCUCACUUCAAAGCUGUCAAUUCUGUACAAUUUAUCCAACCUAAUUCAUCCUCCCUUUUCUCCUGUGUUCAUUCUCCUCUUCCUGUUAUUCAAAGGUCUAAGGUUUUGAAUAUGAUUCCUAUUUCUCUGGACUGGGAGUGCCUGUGGCGGAGGCAGAGUUUGGCUUGGCACUUUGUUUGUUGUCAGUACAAUCAGCCAGAACCAGACACAGAUCAUUGACCUGAAGCAUGACUUCUCUCUCCUGGUAGCUCCGUGGGUAGAAAAAACUCCUCUGUCUGGUGUAUCAUUACGUGAGAAAAAGGAACAUGCAGAUUAAUGUGUGUCGCACGUCAUCAUUUGUAUAUCUCAGAGGCACGUACAUAUAUGAACGUUUAUAUCUAUGUAGGAUGUCUUGGAGAAAAUCCUUUUGGAAUGUGAUAGCAGUUGCCUUUGGCAUGGGAAUUUGAUGGCUGACAAGGAGUAACAUUGGGAAAAAACUAUCUUUUCCCCGAAUAUUUCUUUAAAACUUUCUGUCU